rnacentral:rRNA from 1 species
UACGGAGGGGGUUAGCGUUGUUCGGAAUUACUGGGCGUAAAGCGCACGUAGGCGGAUUAGUCAGUCAGAGGUGAAAUCCAACAACUCAAGUGUUGGGCUGCCGAAGAUACUGCAAGACUAGGGAAUGGGAGAGGUAGACGGUACUCGAUAGGAAGGGGUAAAAUCCUUUGAUCUAUUGAUGACCACCUGUGGCGAAGGCGGUCUACCAGAACAUGUUCGACGGUGAGGGAUGAAAGCUGGGGGAGCAAACCGG